rnacentral:snoRNA from 1 species
UUCUUUUUGUAGUUCAUAAGCAUGAUGAUUGGGUGUUCCUGCUCCUGUGUGGCAUGUGCCACCCUCAAACCUUGUCACGACCUCGGCACAUUACCCAUCUGACG